rnacentral:misc_RNA from 1 species
GAUGAAGAACGUAGCGAAAUGCGAUACUUGGUGUGAAUUGCAGAAUCCCGUGAACCAUCGAGUCUUUGAACGCAAGUUGCGCCAGAAGCCAUUAGGCCGAGGGCACGCCUGCCUGGGCGUCACACGUCGUUGCCCCCCCAUCUACUCCUUCGGGAUUGCGGGGGGCGGAUGAUGGCCUCCCGUGCGCCUCGUCGCGCGGUUGGCAUAAAUGCCAAGUCCUCGGCGACGCACGCCACGACAAUCGGUGGUUGCGAAACCUCGGUUGCCCGUCGUGUGCGGUCGUCGCGCAUCGAGGGCUCGAAAAAAUUGCCGGGCUCCGGCUCGGCUUUCAACGCGACCCCAGGUCAGGCGGGAUUACCCGCUGAAUUUAAGCAUAUCAAUAAGCGGAGGA